rnacentral:rRNA from 1 species
GACGAACGCUGGCGGCAGGCUUAACACAUGCAAGCCGAACGCCCCGCAAGGGGAGUGGCAGACGGGUGAGUAACGCGUGGGAACAUACCCUUUCCUGCGGAAUAGCUCUGGGAAACUGGAAUUAAUACCGCAUACGCCCUACGGGGGAAAGAUUUAUCGGGGAAGGAUUGGCCCGCGUUAGAUUAGCUAGUUGGUGGGGUAAAGGCCUACCAAGGCGACGAUCCAUGGCUGGUCUGAGAGGAUGAUCAGCCACAUUGGGACUGAGACACGGCCCAAACUCCUACGGGAGGCAGCAGUGGGGAAUAUUGGACAAUGGGCGCAAGCCUGAUCCAGCCAUGCCGCGUGAGUGAUGAAGGCCUUAGGGUUGUAGAGCUCUUUCACCGAUGAAGAUAAUGACGGUAGUCGGAGAAGAAGCCUCGGCUAACUUCGUGCCAGCCGCCGCAGUAACAC